UCCCCAAGUAGGGAAUAACUCUGAGAAAUUAGAGCUAAUACCCUAUGUGGUGGUGGGGGUAAUGCCCCAUCACUAAAGCCUUCGGGCGCCUGGGGAGGGGCUUGCGUCCGAUUAGCUGGUUGGUAGGGUAACGGCUUACCAAGGCGAGGAUCGGUAGCUGGUUUGAGAGGACGGUCAGCCACACUGGGACUGAGACACGGCCCAGACUCCUACGGGAGGCAGCAGCAAGGAAUAUUGUGCAAUGGGCGAAAGCCUGACACAGCGACGCCGCGUGGGGGAUGAAGGCUUUCGGGUUGUAAACCCCUUUUCUCAGGGAAGAACAAUGACGGUACCUGAGGAAUAAGUCUCGGCUAACUACGUGCCAGCAGCCGCGGUAAUACGUAGGAGGCGAGCGUUAUCCGGAUUUACUGGGCGUAAAGCGGGCGUAGGCGGUCCUUCAAGUCGGAUGUAAAAUCUCCCGGCUCAACUGGGAUGGACCAUUCGAAACUGCUGGGCUUGAGGAUAGCAGAGGGAGGUGGAAUUCCCGGUGUAGUGGUGAUAUGCGUAGAUAUCGGGAGGAACACCAGUGGCGAAGGCGGCCUCCUGGGCUAUUUCUGACGCUGAGGCCCAAAAGCGUGGGGAGCGAACAGGAUUAGAUACCCUGGUAGUCCACGCUGUAAACGAUGGACACUAGGUAUGGGGAGUAUCGACCCUCUCCGUGCCGAAGCUAACGCCUUAAGU
rnacentral:rRNA from 1 species